GCAUCGGUGAUUCAGUGAUAGAAUGCUCGCCUGCCACGCGGGCGGCCCGGGUUCGAUUCCCGGCCAAUGCA
rnacentral:tRNA from 1 species